UACUUGUCCCGUUAGUUAUACGACAGCAGCGAGGACGAGGAGCAAAGUUGAGCCGUGGCAACUAGCAAAUCCACGCACAGCAUAAUGGAAAGUGUUGGAAAGCAAAUAAUAGAGGCAAUUUGUCACUUUUGUUAUUUAGUUAAUUAAGCACAACGCCAUUAACAAGUAUGUGGGAGUGGAGAUGUCUUCAAUAUUUUUAACUGGACACUAGACAGAGGUGCGUGAUCAGUUUCACACGCCGGCCGGCUUACCCCGGAAGAAAUAUCCCUGGUUGACGUGUGUGCGAGCCAGUGUGUGUUAAAACGAAGAAGUAUGGUGAAAAAAGUGUAGACAUUUUCAUUUCUAAUUACAAUAAUGUCAAAGCGUGGUAAAGUGAACAGGAUAUGGAACUCGGAAGGAUGGGAAGGAAAGUACAGUGGACCCAGAAUUUCAUAGGAAAAUAAACCGAGAUCGCAUUGAAUUUCGAGAAUGCAUGAAUCUUCUGUAUUCCGACCUCUUGUUUAAAAAUAACAGAGAAAUCUGAAAUUCAUUCUGAGGGGCACUAUAUCUUUGACUUCUCAUCAUUGUGAGUAUCUUGACCCGACAGUGAAUAGUUGCGUGUGAAUUCAGUGGCUGGUGGUGACAAGAUAUACCUGGUGCAAGCACAGGAGCUGGCCUUCCGUGAGAAUGUCUUGCUUUGACAUGUCAGUUGACCAUCCGCAUGCAGACAUCGUGCACUACUUCCUUCUGGGUAGAGGUCAAAUAUUGGAGAAUUAGAAAACCUCUAAGGAGUUCGUGUCAUUCUCCUAUGAACUGAGUUAAAAUGAAGCAGAUCUGACUAUAUGACAUGUGAAAGCUUCAGUGAUGUCAUCUGUUGUAGAGAUUUGAGGAAAAUGGAUCUAGUACUGGUCAUGUUACAUAGCACAAGUGUGUCUUAAUGGCAGUGGAAAUAUCACCACCACAGCAUACUGUGAUUUAUGAGGAAAGUAGGGUCAAUUUCUUGUCCCUGAGGCAAUAUUUUGGAGAUGAAGGAAAUGUGGGAAGUCGCUGACUGUGGUGACCCUGUUUCUCCAUUGACAGACGUUAGCAGCAGUGAGAGUGUUGUCAUUGAAUGAACAGGCAAAUCCACUAAGAUGUGGUGAUGAAUGUUGGUGAUAAAUGGUCUACUCCUGGGUAUAUUAGGGAGACACAAGUGGUCCUACUGACAGUGGAAGUGAUACUGCGAAACCAUACCGGCAUUACGAGGCUAAUGUUGGAGAAUUGAGAACCCUGCUGGGACUUUGCAGUUGGUGGGCUCUGCGUGACCCGUUUAUGAACUGUUUUGCAAUGAGACAAAUCUGACUGUAUGAACAUGCAAAUCUUCAGUGAUGUGUUCUGUAGAGAUCUGGCGGAAAUGAUUCAACCUCUCGUUAUGUUCUAUCGCACAAGUGUGUCUUAAUGACAGUGGAAAUGUCUCCACCACAGUAUACUAUGAUUUAUGAGGUAAGUUGUAGAGCUGCAGUCCCUCUUAUAGGAGUUAAAUUUGUUGUUCUUUGCUUUCACACUUAGUUUUGAACUGUUAAAUGUUGGGUUUUAAGGAACAUGUGGUUGUUAUGCAGAUGUGUUCUUCUUUCUGGGAUACUUGCCUGCCUGCUUGCCUGUCUUAGUCUACUUGUGUCUUCCCCUUGAGCCUGCCUGAUUGCAUACCUGCCUUUUCCAUCCAUGCAACUCAGAUGACCCAGUAUGAGUGUACUCAGUGUCAGUGUGAAAGAAGAAAUACCAGGCAGUACAUAUAUUUGGUACUGAGCUACCAGAAAUUUCAGAUAAACGAGUAUAGCUCUGGAUGGCAGUGUUACAUUCGUAUCAGAAGCAGAAUGUAUACCGUCUACAAAGGCAAAACUCUGAGGUGAUGUACCUAAAUUCUGUAAGAGCAAAUCACAUUAAUGUUGAAUGUACGAGUGUGCUUGCUUUGAAUUUCCUCGUGCAACACGUCAGUUUCAAAACAUUGCAUUAGCAAAUGCAGUCUGCAUCAGUGCACAAAGUUUGUUAUAAAUUAUGGAGAUAAAAUCAGAUAAGGAAUUCUCCACAAUAUUACUCGCACACUUUCGUUUCACUGCAAUUGGAGUAUCUGAUGCAAUAACUGGAAACCCACUUUGUAUGUCUGGUUAAUGAACCCAAUAAUACUAGAAACUGUUCCUUCUGGACACUAUCCAUCAUAUCUUCAUCUAAUGACAGUUUGCCCAGGCAUUCGAGUCAUAUUAAGAUUGUUACCUCAACGAUUUGAGAGGCUUAAGUGCUGAUAUUACUGAUGAGAGGGAUUUAUGCAGUGCUCGGUUGAGAUGGCCUCAGGAAGCAUGAUAUACUUACCAAGUUUCAUGAAGGCCGGCAAAGGUGUUCAACAACUGUUAGGGGCAA